UACGUAGGGUGCGAGCGUUGUCCGGAUUUACUGGGCGUAAAGAGCUCGUAGGCGGCUUGGGACGUCUCCUGUGAAAAUCCGAGGCUCGACCGUGGAGCAGCGUUGGGUACGCGCAUGCUAGACGGUGGGAGAGGGUGGUGGAAUUCCUGGUGUAGCGGUGGAAUGCGCAGAUACCGGGAGGAACACCGAUGGCGAAGGCAGACCCCUGGUCCGCAUGUGACGCUGAGGAGCGAAAGCGUGGGGAGCAAACGGG
rnacentral:rRNA from 1 species